rnacentral:rRNA from 1 species
AGCUGCGGCAGCGACACUAUGUGUUGUUGGGUAGGGGAGCGUUCUGUAAGCCUGUGAAGGUGGCCUGUGAGGGUUGCUGGAGGUAUCAGAAGUGCGAAUGCUGACAUAAGUAACGAUAAAGCGGGUGAAAAGCCCGCUCGCCGGAAGACCAAGGGUUCCUGUCCAACGUUAAUCGGGGCAGGGUGAGUCGACCCCUAAGGCGAGGCCGAAAGGCGUAGUCGAUGGGAAACGGGUUAAUAUUCCCGUACUUGGUGUUACUGCGAAGGGGGGACGGAGAAGGCUAUGUUGGCCGGGCGACGGUUGUCCCGGUUUAAGCGUGUAGGUGUGUGUUCCAGGUAAAUCCGGUUCACUUUAACACUGAGGCGUGAUGACGAGGCACUACGGUGCUGAAGCAACAAAUGCCCUGCUUCCAGGAAAAGCCUCUAAGCAUCAGGUAACAUCAAAUCGUACCCCAAACCGACACAGGUGGUCAGGUAGAGAAUACCAAGGCGCUUGAGAGAACUCGGGUGAAGGAACUAGGCAAAAUGGUGCCGUAACU